rnacentral:rRNA from 1 species
GACGAACGCUGGCGGCGUGCUUAACACAUGCAAGUCGAGCGAAGCCCUCGCCUUCGGGUGGGGUGACUUAGCGGCGAACGGGUGAGUAACACGUGGGCAACCUGCCCUUAGCUCUGGGAUAAGCGAUGGAAACGUCGUCUAAUACUGGAUAUGACACGGGGAUGCAUGUUCUUGUGUGGAAAGAUUUAUCGGCUAAGGAUGGGCCCGCGGCCUAUCAGCUUGUUGGUGGGGUAAUGGCCUACCAAGGCGGCGACGGGUAACCGGCCUGAGAGGGCGACCGGUCACACUGGGACUGAGACACGGCCCAG